UACGUAGGGUGCAAGCGUUACUCGGAAUUACUGGGCGUAAAGCGUGCGCAGGCGGUUUUGUAAGUCAGGUGUGAAAUCCCCGGGCUUAACCUGGGAAUGGCAUGUGGGACUGCAAGGCUGGAGUGUGGCAGAGGAGACUGGAAUUCCCGGUGUAGCAGUGAAAUGCGGAGAUAUCGGGAGGAAUACCGAUGGCGAAGGCAGGUCUCUGGGCUGACACUGACGCUCAUGCACGAAAGCGUGGGGAGCAAACAGG
rnacentral:rRNA from 1 species